GGGGUUGUGGCUCAGUGGUAGAGCGCUCACCUAGCAUGUGUGAGGCCCUGGGUCGAUCCUCAGCACCA
rfam:Ictidomys tridecemlineatus contig055874, whole genome shotgun sequence.